GACGAACGCUGGCGGCGUGCUUAACACAUGCAAGUCGAACGGAAAGGCCUGCUUUCCCUUGUGGAUUGCGGGUACUCGAGUGGCGAACGGGUGAGUAACACGUGAGUGAUCUGCCCCCAACUUGGGUAUAAGCCUGGGAAACUGGGUCUAAUUCCCGAUAGGACUGCAGGGUGGUGCCUGUGGUGGAAAACGAUUUUCUAGUGGUUGGGGAUGAGCUCGCGGCCUAUCAGCUUGUUGGUGGGGUAAUGGCCUACCAAGGCGGCGACGGGUAGCCGGCCUGAGAGGGUGGACGGCCACAUUGGGACUGAGAUACGGCCCAGACUCCUACGGGAGGCAGCAGUGGGGAAUAUUGCACAAUGGGCGGGAGCCUGAUGCAGCGACGCCGCGUGGGGGAUGACGGCCUUCGGGUUGUAAACUCCUUUCGACCGCGAGGAAGCCACCUGGUUGGAAGGGUGGUGACGGUAGUGGUAGAAGAAGCACCGGCUAACUACGUG
rnacentral:rRNA from 1 species